rnacentral:lncRNA from 1 species
CACAGUCGCCAUGACGACCGGGAGGUCCGCUCGUCAACGGCUAGUCAACGGCUGCGGGGACAAGUCCGUUGAGGCUGCCAGGCGAGUCAGGCCUUUCUGGACCUCGCCUGACUCGGAUGGGCUGUGCCUGAAAUUGACCCAGCUCCACUAGGGAUUAUGAAGAAACAAGGAGUAAACCCAAAGCCGCUGCAAUCUUCCCGCCCCAGCCCGUCUAAGCGGCCGUACGGGGCCUCCCCCGCCCGGGAGCUGGAGGUGGAAAAGUCGGCCCUAGGCGGCGGGAAACUGCCAGGGGGCGCCAGGAGGUCCUCCCCGGGGAGGAUCCCAAAUCUGAAAAAGCGAAAAGGCUUGGAGCUAAAGGUGGUGGCCAAGACCCUUCUCGACCCCUUCCAGUUCGUCCGUAAUUCCCUGGCGCAGCUCCGGGAAGAGGUGCACGAACUGCAGGCGCGGUGGUUCCCCAGCAGAACCACUCUCAGCAUCGCCAUCUUUGUGGCAAUUCUACAUUGGGACUUUAUUAUUCCUACUUCAAGACCAUCAUUGAAGCACCUUCAUUUUUGGAAGGACUGUGGAUGAUUAUGAAUGACAGGCUUACUGAAUAUCCUCUUGUAAUUAAUACAGUAAAACGCUUCCAUCUUUAUCCAGAGGUAAUCAUAGCUGCCUGGUAUCGCACAUUCAUAGGAAUAAUGAAUUUAUUUGGACUAGAAACUAAGACCUGCUGGAAUGUCACCAGAAUAGAACCUCUUAAUGAGUUCAAAGCUGUGAAGGCAUGUUUCCUCCAAAAAUGCUGUCAUUUGUAAACAUUCAUAAACAUUUAAUAAUAUUAUGAUUCACUUUUAAGAAUUAUUGUAAAAUUCUGUUGUUGAUUUAAAAAACAUUAGAACUGACUCACCUCAAUGAGUAUUUUUACAUUUUAAAGUAGUUUUCUGAGAAGGCUGUGUACUUAAAAAUUUGAGUAUAAAUUUUGGAAUUUGAGUAUUAACGUAUCCCAUUGUAAGGCAAUCUUGACUAUAAGUUAGUCUUCUAUUUCAGAAUGAGAAGAUACAGAAAGAUGUUUUUUGGGGUAGCUUCAAUAUAUAAAUUUUGAGGAUACAUUAAAUAGUCAAAUAUCUAUUUGUAAUAGCUAAUGUAUAAAUUUAAUUAUGCAUACAUAUUUGAAAAUUGGAUAUGCCAUAAUAGAUUGAUUUAGAAAUAUUACUUUUUUAUAUAUGCUCAUAGUCCAUGAGUAGUAUUAAUAAAACUCUUCCUAUUUAUCUUCUA